rnacentral:rRNA from 1 species
AUUGAACGCUGGCGGCAGGCUUAACACAUGCAAGUCGAGCGGAGAUGAGGUGCUUGCACCUUAUCUUAGCGGCGGACGGGUGAGUAAUGCUUAGGAAUCUGCCUAUUAGUGGGGGACAACAUUCCGAAAGGAAUGCUAAUACCGCAUACGUCCUACGGGAGAAAGCAGGGGAUCUUCGGACCUUGCGCUAAUAGAUGAGCCUAAGUCGGAUUAGCUAGUUGGUGGGGUAAAGGCCUACCAAGGCGACGAUCUGUAGCGGGUCUGAGAGGAUGAUCCGCCACACUGGGACUGAGACACGGCCCAGACUCCUACGGGAGGCAGCAGUGGGGAAUAUUGGACAAUGGGGGGAACCCUGAUCCAGCCAUGCCGCGUGUGUGAAGAAGGCCUUUUGGUUGUAAAGCACUUUAAGCGAGGAGGAGGCGCUCUAGGUUAAUACCCUAGAUGUGUGGACGUUACUCGCGGAAUAAGCACCGGCUAACUCUGUGCCAGCCGCCGCAGUAAUAC